rnacentral:rRNA from 1 species
UACGUAGGGUGCGAGCGUUAAUCGGAAUUACUGGGCGUAAAGCGUGCGCAGGCGGUUAUGUAAGACAGAUGUGAAAUCCCCGGGCUCAACCUGGGAACUGCAUUUGUGACUGCAUCGCUGGAGUGCGGCAGAGGGGGAUGGAAUUCCGCGUGUAGCAGUGAAAUGCGUAGAUAUGCGGAGGAACACCGAUGGCGAAGGCAAUCCCGUGGGCCUGCACUGACGCUCAUGCACGAAAGCGUGGGGAGCAAACAGG